rnacentral:tRNA from 1 species
GUGCUCGUAGCUCAGUUGGAUAGAGCAACGGCCUUCUAAGCCGUGGGUCGCAGGUUCGAGCCCUGCCGGGCACA